CCCCUGACCCAGCAGGAAGUUCAAUUUUUACAAACAGAUGAUACUUGAUUUAGCAUAACCUCUUUGGAGGCAAAGUUACUCCUUCAAAAAGCGAUCAGAAAUAUGAUCUGGCAGGGAACAUUGCUGUGAGCUCAGCAGAAUGUCUUAUCUGGACUCAGCAUUUCUGGCUGGGCACAGUUAAUAUCCCGUGGAAGUGCAGAGUCCUUCAGACAGACAAGGCUACACCCACUGCUAAAUCACAGAGACUCAGAAAUUAACUCCUCUCUCUGUGUGGGAAUACAGCGGGGCAAAGAAAUCCCUUACCUUGUGAACCAAUGCAGCUUCUGCCGAUGACAAUUCCAGAGUGGCUGCUGGGGGGGAAGAGUUGUGGGUGGCAUUCCUGGACUCCUCCAGGCUGGGAUGCCAAGCAGCUUCUGAUUCUGCCCACAGAAAGAUGUUUGCUGAUUUAUGCAAACUGCAGCUGCCUUUCAAACAAGCUACAGAUGUGUUCCAGAAUGCACUGGACAUCAGAAGAGAAUUUCAGUGGCAGCAGGUUUCCCAGCUGAUGAAGAGACAGAAUGCUGAGAAAAAGGAAUUUGCUUUUUGCAGGAGGGAGAAGGGCUCUGCUCCUCUGGGCCUUGCUUCCUGUGAUUCCUCUCUGCAAAUGGAGCUCAGCACAUGGCCUGCAUGAGGAAAAGCACCAUGAAUACCAAGUCAGCCCUGAGCUGCAAAGGAAUAGAAAAUGCAUUGGUUCUAGUUAAAAUCGAUUUUUGCCUUGGAACCACAGGGGGACUCAGUGGAUAUUCAGAGGAGGGAAAAGCUGAAUCAUGGGAUGGUUAAAGGUGGAAAAGCCCUGUAAGACCUUGGAGCCCAGCCAGUGCCUGACCCUGUCCCUGAGCAGCAUCUGAACACUCCCUGAACACCUCCAGGGAUGGAGACCCACCUGUGCCAGUGCCUGGCCACCACUUCCAGGGCAGAAACCUCUCCUGAGUCCACAAAAUCUGCACUGGGACUUUUUGCCCAGGAAGGAAAAUGUCCCCAGGGCUCCUUGGGGGUCUGAGAGGUCCCUGGGAGGUCACAGAGGAGGAGAGGUCUGUGCUGGUGCUGCCAGUUUAGCUACACACACUUAAUGGAAACAUGGAAAAUUUCCUGCAAAGCCCCUUAGGUGUGAGCUGUGAAAUACCAGCAAAGAACUAGAAAAACUGUGAGGCAUUGCAAGUGAGAGGGAAAAGGAACCUUAAAGAACUCAACUGAGGGCGAGUUGUGGACUCAGCUCUGACACAGAGCUUGGAAAGAACAUCCUCCAGCCCAAGAAAUCUCCUGCUGCUCUCAGCUGAGCACCCCUGUGUGUGCCACAGCACAGGGUGACACCGCUGUCACCCACAGCAGGGGCUGUGCUCCAGGGAAUUCGAGCUGUAAGAGUCUUCCCUCUGCAGAAUCUGCUGCUUCUCCACCUCCCAGCUGUUUUCUCCUUCGCUGUGGGUAUUGCAGGACUGCACAAUCUGGUUUAAAGCAUGGUAAAAGUCAUUAUCUUCCUAUUGUAAUUCCUAUUUUCUUUGGUAUUCUUUGUGAGGCUUCUGCAAAUCCAUCCCCUGCUUGGCUGCAGCCCUGUGGAAAUCACUGGUACAU